UGCCAAGCCCUAAUCGGCAAGUUGAUACCCAAUCCCGCCAGGUCCGGAAGGAAGCAACGGUCAGUAUUUAAUUUGGGUGGUUAGGUGUCUUGGCAUUU
rnacentral:SRP_RNA from 1 species